rnacentral:lncRNA from 1 species
ACUGGGAAAACAUGGCGGAGUCGGCUGGCGUUAAGUUGCUUUUUGGCAAAGUUGGGCGGCGAGAUUGUUUUUGGUGAUUUGGAUUAGAAAGCUGCAGGAGGGUCAUCGCUUAGUAAUUUAGGGUUAAGAGUACAGAAGCUAUGUCUUCCGUUGGUCGCAUGCCAUUUGAGUUCCUUUUUAUUUCCUCGAGUUUUAUUUGUUGGUUAUUCAUGGCUAGGUCUGUUCGCUCCUCACGUUCUCUCCUAAUCUCAGUAACUUUGUUAACCUUUCAUUUUCAAGUCGCAGGCGCCCAGGAAUGAACAGGAUAACUGCUAGUGGCUCCAGAUGUCAGAAAACAGAUGACCAGAUCGAGCACGCGCAGAUCUCUGGUUGGUCGGCUGUGUGCCUCCGGAAGGCCCGCCCUGCUCGUCCAAUCACGGAGAGGGAGGGCACGUUGAGAGUGAUGCCAGGAAUCAAGAUGGCCGCCUGGGACCGCUCUCAGCCCCUUCGGCCUCUACCUGAAGAGCCACGCCCCGUCUGCUACACCCAACUGAUUGGUUCCUCAAUCACAGAGAGGAAAGGCAACAUGAGGAUGACGUCAGUUACAAAUAUGGCGUUUUGGACGGGCUCGAUAGUUUGCUUGGCCUCUACUCAAGGAAUGCUGAUGGUAUAGCAAGAAGGUAUUCUGAGCAUUAUAUCAAUGGGGAAGUUCUAGAUCUUUUGCAAAGCAGGAGCAAGCUGCCCUGUUGUGAGCUCUCCGGUGGAGAGCCCCACAUGGCAAGAAAAUGAGAAGCCCCCUGAACAGACAAGAGCUGAGGCCCAGGAUACAAUAUCCUGAAAAAAACUGAAUCCUGCUGACAGUUGCCCAAGUGAAGCUGGAAGUGGAUCUUUCUGCAGUGGAUCCUUGAGAUGACUGUAGCCCUGGCUGACAACUUGAUUGCUGCCUGUGAAGGACCCUGAACCAGAGGACUCAGCGAAAUUGUGCCCAGAUUCCUGACCUACAGAGGCAGUGAGAUAAUAAAUGCUGUUGAGGUCACAAAGUUUUGAGAGUCAUCCUAGGGCAUCCAGAGGCCUUCAGGGUGGCCUGAAGUCUCCCACCGCACCACCUUUGGGUUAACCUAGCCUGUCCCACAGAAGAUGAUGAAGUUGGGUCUGGAGGCAAGCUGACUCAGAUGGAUUCUCGAUUUUAUGAUGCUGGACUGGAGAUGGGUUUCACCAUGUUGCCCAAGCUAGUCUCGAACUCGUGGACUCAAGCAAUCCACCUGCCUCAGCCUCCCAAAGUGCCUUACAGGCGUGAGCCACCGCACCUGGCUGAACUGUCCCUUCACACUUACCUUCAGUCCUGGAGGGAGGACCUCUUGCUUGUGGAUCUGGAUGACAGUGAUACUCACAAGUACCACAAUACUCACAAGCAAGACCACCAAGGCAAUGAUGGUUGGAGUUCGGUAGAGGGCCUUGAGGCCUAAAAUGAGAAGACCCAGAAGACACUUGAGGGGGAGGUAAAAACCAGGCACUGGUAUUCUUUGUAGAAUUGAUGGACUGGCCCCAUAAUCAGGUGCAUAAACCACCUUCUCUGGUGUUAGCGAGACCCACACUUCUAAGAUGGAGUAGCAAAUAAGCUCCCCUUCUCCCCAGUUUUGGGGAAGCACAAACAAUACCUAUUUGCCCUUCCUCACAAAUUGUGUACUAAAACAGUGUUGCAGGGAGGGUAUGCAUGGUCUAGUUUUCUGAUAUUUUGGUUAUCCCUGAGAUGAAUUACAAUAACAUUUGUUUUACUUUUUUCUUUUUCUUUUCUUUUUUUUUUUUUUUGAGAUGGAGUCUCACUCUAUCGCCCAGGUUAGAGUGCUGUGCCGUGAUCUUGGCUCACUGCAGCUUCCAACUCCCAGGUUCAAGCGAUUCUUCUGCCUCUGCCUCCUGAAUAGCUGAGAUUACAGGUGCCUGCUACCACGGCAGCCAAUUUUUGUAUUUUUAAUAGAGACAGGGUUUCACCAUGUUGGCCAGGCUGGUCUCGAACUCCUGGGCUCAAGUGAUCUGCCUGUCUCGGUCUCCCAAAGUGCUGGGAUUACAGGUGUGAGCCACCACGCCCAGCUAACAUUAGUUUUAAUGGAGAUUCAAAAAAUCUAUUUUUAAAAAAUUAAACCAGGUGAUAGAAUAUUUCACUUAAAAAUAAUCUCAUAGAAUAUUUCAUUUAAAAAUAAUCUCAGUUAAAGAAAAAGAAAUUAGGCUGGGCAGAUGGCUGACCCCUGUAAUCCCAGCACUUUGGGAGGCCGAAGUGGGUGGAUCACUUGAGGUCAGGAGUUCAAGACCAGCCUGGCCAAUAUGGUGAAACCAUGUCUCUACCAAGAAAUACAAAAAUUAGCCAGGUGUGAUCAUAUGCGCCUGUAGUCCCAGCUACUCGGGAGACUGAGGUGGGAGAAUUGCUUGAAGCCAGGAGGUGGAGGUUGCAAUGAGUUGAGAUCAAACUACUACACACCAGCCUGGGUGACAGAAUAAGACCUUGUCUCAAUAAAAUAAAAUAAAAAUAAAAAAAUUAGUACUAUAC